CGGAGAGUAGUGUAACGGUAGCACGAAUCCUUUGGGAGGAUUUAGCCCGGGUUCGAAUCCCGGCCCUCCGA
rnacentral:tRNA from 1 species